rnacentral:ribozyme from 1 species
AAAAAUCAAAAAAAAAAAAAAAAAAAAAAAAAAU